GGACGAUCAGCUUCAGAAAGAAGUUGAGAUGAAAGGCACCAAAACUGAUCUUCCAGAAGGGGAUUCAAGGUGUCAGAGUAAUAUAGCAGAGCUUAUCUACGCGUGGUUCAGUAAAAGUGUUGUUUCUGUGUUUGCUCCUGCUGCAUUUCAAAUAACGCUGGGACUGAUACGGCUGUUCCCACUGAAUGGUUCCAGCUGAUGUAAGGCCAUGUCCUGCCCAGCGAUCUCUCUCCGUGCCCAAAUGAGGAAUGACAGCCCACUUCUGGGGACGAGGAGUUAAGUGUGAUUCGAUGAUGUCUCACAACGCCUUGAUGAUGAAGAAGACGUGAAUGAUUACAGCUCAUAGAGAUCUCACAGCUGGGGAAGAGAAUAUUGUUUGUUAGAGGGAUUGCUGUGAAACCAUUCCAUGCAAGCUGCCUUCCUGCCCUGAAUAGCAGCAAGACCCCACUAUUUCUAA
rnacentral:lncRNA from 1 species